rnacentral:tRNA from 9 species
GGAAGGUAGGGAGCAUGGUGCUCAAGCGGUCUUGAAAACCGUCCCACUGCGAGCGCGGUGAUGGUUCGAUUCCAUUACCUUCCGCCA